GAUNAUGGCUCAGGAUGAACGCUAGCUACAGGCUUAACACAUGCAAGUCGAGGGGCAUCAGAAGAAAGCUUGCUUUCUUUGCUGGCGACCGGCGCACGGGUGAGUAACACGUAUCCAACCUGCCCUUUACUCGGGGAUAGCCUUUCGAAAGAAAGAUUAAUACCCGAUAGCAUAAUGAUUCCGCAUGGUUUCAUUAUUAAAGGAUUCCGGUAAAGGAUAGGGAUGCGUUCCAUUAGGUUGUUGGUG
rnacentral:rRNA from 1 species